ensembl:lncRNA
GCCCAAUAUAAAGGAUCAAAACUGGCAGAGGAGGGUGGCAGCGGGAGGAGGUAGGGAACUGGUCUGUCUGCCCAAUAUAAAGGAUCACAACUGGAGGAGGAGGGUGGCAGCGGGAGGAGGUAGGGAACUGGUCUGUCUGCCCAAUAUAAAGGAUCACAACUGGAGGAGGAGGGUGGCAGCGGGAGGAGGUAGGGAACUGGUCUGUCUGCCCAAUAUAAAGGAUCAAAUCAAAUCAAAUCAAAUUUAUUUAUAUAGCCCUUCGUACAUCAGCUGAUAUCUCAAAGUGCUGUACAGAAACCCCGCCUAAAACCCCAAACAGCAAGCAAUGCAGGUGUAGAAGCACGGUGGCUAGGAAAAACUCCCUAGAAAGGCCAAAAUCUAGGAAGAAACCUAAAGAGGAACCAGGCUAUGUGGGGUGGCCAGUCCUCUUCUGGCUGUGCCGGGU